UACUGUUCACUCUGCAGGUCCUGCUCAUGUUAGACCUCCGAAAUGCAACACCAACACAUUUCUCUGUAGU